GACAAACGCUGGCGGCAUGCCUAACACAUGCAAGUCGAACGGACAGAACAGGGAAGCUUUUCGGAGUGGAACUGGAAAGUUAGUGGCGGAUGGGUGAGUAACGCGUGGACAACCUACCUUGUAAAGGGGAAUAACCUCGAGAAAUCGAAGCUAAUACCCCAUAAUAACCUUGCUUCGCAUGAAGUAAGGAGGAAAGGCGGCCUUAGCGCUGUCGAUACAAGAUUGGUCCGCGUCUGAUUAGCUAGUUGGUGAGGUAAAGGCUCACCAAGGCGACGAUCAGUAGCCGGCCUGAGAGGGUGAACGGCCACAUUGGGACUGAGACACGGCCCAAACUCCUACGGGAGGCAGCAGUGGGGAAUCUUCCGCAAUGGGCGAAAGCCUGACGGAGCAAUGCCGCGUGAGUGAAGAAGGCCUUCGGGUUGUAAAACUCUGUCCUUAUCGAAGAGAGAGUGUUGUAGUAACUGACAAUACUAGGACGGUAGAUGAGGAGGAAGCCCCGGCUAACUAUGUG
rnacentral:rRNA from 1 species